GAUUUUAGACAGCAGGAAUCACGAGAACUCACAAGAACCCGCAGAUUCACGUUCAAUCGAGUUGAGAUUUCAAUUGAGAUUUCCUAAAAUUAAAGGUCUUAAGUUAACUGAAAUAAAAACAUCUUAAAGGACUGUGACUGGAUCGAUUGACCUGAAAUAGUUAAGAAUCGUGAUGGUCCGAUUACUGAUGCUUUCAAAGAAGUCGGGAAAUCCAAAACAAGGUCCCAGACCUCCAUGGUUCAUACUAGUCUUGAGCUGUUGAAACCAGAACCACAAAGCUUAAGUCAGAACCAGGAGAGUAACCCCUAAUUUUCACCACAUCUGGAGUGGCUCCGAUCCGGAAAGGCAGCGAUUUUAGCUGUACGCCGAUUCCUACCUGAUCCGUUUGUGAGGCGAAUUUUGUGAUGGAUUACAGACAGCAGGAAUCACGAGAACUCACAAGAACCCGAGGAUUCACGUUCAAUCGUGCGAUAACGAGUUGUCUCUCUAAAGACAGACACAUAGACAUAUAAGCAGUAGAUUGUGUCCUUCCAGAGGAGGAAAUCUACUUCUAGACUUCUAGAAUCAGCAUCUCCUCAUCCAUGGUGUCAUCGGGGUGAAAUGACGUCUAAAAACCUUUCACUUGUUUGUCUCCGUCCGAACAAAUGAAAGGUUGUGUUUUAUUUUGAAAAGAAGCCGGAUGUUUUAUUUUGUGUCUGUGCCCGACUUCCUU